UGGUCUACAGUCAAUAACACAGCAUUUCAUUGUUAUUUUAACAGCACAUUACUAAAAUGCUCCUAGGUUCGUGCACAGCGCGUGCACACUAUGCCUAUUACACACACAGACACACA